AUGUGGCUCUGGCGGCACCUGGGUGGCUCAGUCGGCUGAACCACCUACUCUUCCCCCCACCCCCCACCACCCCCCGCGGAGUGUGGAGUUUCCCUCCCUCGGCCUCUCCCCCCUCUCGCUCCUGCGCACUCUCAGUCUCAAAUAAAUCUUAAAGAAGAUUGUGUGUUUCUGGAACAAGGAUAUGAACAGAACAGAAAAGAGAAUUCAGAAGCGCACCCAUGCGCAUUUGGUCACCUGAUUUAUCGCAAACGUGAUUAACUCAGAGAUUAUGAAGCAAACAGAAGAGGAGUAAGAGGUGUGAGGAGAAGGAGAAGCGGCGAGGGUCGCAGCACCGAGGAGGGGCCGACAGAGCUUCGCUUGGGGAGCAGGAGGAGAUCCGCAACGUCAGGGACAGCCGGCGUCCAUUAAACGGAAGCGUUACUUAGAAUUGGACUUUCACGUGACUGUGGGAACCGAGCUGAGCUCUUCCGGCCCAGCGGACAGGAACCCGGGAGGAGCGGUUUGCAGGUGGAGAAGCGGUGGGCCGGAGGCAGGGAGAGUCAGCUGCGCCUCCAAGAACUCGGGGCGCGAGGGAAGGCCAGCCGUUCCCAGCAGCUAAUUUUUUGCCUGCUUGAUCUAUCAUUUUUGGAGGGAAUUGCAUUAAAGUUUACCACUGGACUUUUCAUCUUAGUCAUUGUGCGCAAAUCCUCUGGGUUGGCACCUGAAGCUGGGCUGGCUUUCACUUCACCUCCUCCAUCAUCACAUUCACUCCCCUUGUCCUCACAAGGUUAACUCCAGGAAAGAGAGUAAGUGGUUCAUUUU
rnacentral:lncRNA from 1 species